UACAGAGGUCUCAAGCGUUGUUCGGAUUCAUUGGGCGUAAAGAGCUCGUAGGCGGCUUGUCGCGUCGUCCGUGAAAACCUGCAGCUCAACUGCAGGCUUGCGGUCGAUACGGGCAGGCUAGAGUUCGGUAGGGGAGACUGGAAUUCCUGGUGUAGCGGUGAAAUGCGCAGAUAUCAGGAGGAACACCGGUGGCGAAGGCGGGUCUCUGGGCCGAUACUGACGCUGAGGAGCGAAAGCGUGGGGAGCGAACAGG
rnacentral:rRNA from 1 species